CUACGGGGUGCUGCAGUGAGGAAUAUUGCACAAUGGGGGAAACCCUGAUGCAGCAACGCCGCGUGGAGGAUGACGCAUUUCGGUGUGUAAACUCCUUUUAUAUGUCAAGAAAAUGACGGUAGCAUAUGAAUAAGCACCGGCUAACUCCGUGCCAGCAGCCGCGGUAAUACGGAGGGUGCAAGCGUUACUCGGAAUCACUGGGCGUAAAGGACGCGUAGGCUGGUUGGUAAGUCAGGUGUGAAAUCCUACAGCUUAACUGUAGAACUGCACUUGAAACUACCAACCUAGAGUAUGGGAGGGGGAGAUGGAAUUAGUGGUGUAGGGGUAAAAUCCGUAGAUAUCACUAGGAAUACCGAAAGCGAAGGCGAUCUCCUGGAACAUAACUGACGCUAAGGCGUGAAAGCGUGGGGAGCAAACAGGAUUAGAUACCCCCGUAGUC
rnacentral:rRNA from 1 species